CCAAGAAAUUGCAUUUAGGGCUUUACGCGGGACACAGAUGGAGGGUUCAGAUUGCCCCUCCUGACCACCCGCGCCGCCCUCUCUCCUACUACGCCUAAAACCCUUCGCCAAGUCCCCUAAGACCACACGAUUCUCUUCGUAAUGCUCCGGCUGUCGCGCUCCGCCGCCGCCCUUUCGGCGACAGCGGCGGCCGCGGCUGCUCUCGCGGCGCUUUCUGACCACACCUACGCCGAUGGCCCUUUUCGUUUCCCUUAUCUCUCCUCCCCCUCUCCUACUCCUGCGGCGCCAGCUGUGCCGACCGCGGGGACCCGCCCACCGGGAGAGGCUCCAGGUGCGGCCUCUUCGUCGUCCACAUCGUCCGGUGGGUUUGAUCCUGAGGCGCUGGAGAGAGGGGCGAAGGCGUUGAGGGAGAUCAAUAGCUCCCCUCAUGCGAAGCAGGUGUUUGAGCUGAUGAGGAAGCAGGAGGAGACGCGGUUGGCAGAGGUGGCUGCCGAGAAGACCCAGUAUCUUGCGAUUCAAGCUGAGGGUGAAAUUGAAAAGCAAAGAAAACUGGCUGAAGAACAGAGGAACUUAGUCCAACAACAAGCACAAGCUAAGGCACAAAUGGCACGCUAUGAAGAUGAAUUGGCAAGGAAAAGGAUGCAGAUAGAACAUGAAGCCCAGAGGAGGCAGAAUGUCGAACUUGUAAGGAUGCAAGAAGAAUCCUCUGUAAGAAAGGAACAAGUAAGGCGUGCUACAGAAGAACAAAUCCAGGCACAAUUGCGUCAGACUGAAAAAGAGAGAGCUGAAAUAGAGCGUGAAACAAUAAGAGUUAAAGCCAUGGCAGAGGCUGAAGGUCGGGCUCAUGAAGCGAAACUCACGGAAGAGCAUAACCGAAAAAUGCUUUUAGAACACAUGAAGGGUGAACGCGAGAAGUGGAUUGCUGCAAUUAAUACAACCUUUAGCCACAUAGAAGGUGGUUUGAGGAUGUUACUGACUGAUCGGGGUACACUAAUUAUGGCUGUUGGAGGAGUAACUGCCCUUGCUGCUGGCGUCUACACUACUAGGGAAGGUGCAAGGGUUAUUUGGGGUUAUGUCAAUAGGAUAUUAGGCCAGCCAUCACUAAUACGUGAAUCGUCAAUAGCCAAAUUUCCAUGGUCUGGACUGGCACCUAAGAUCAAAAAAAUUGUUUCAAGUUCUGGGGCUGCACUUGGAAAAGAGACAUCGUUAGAAAAUGGGUCUAAUUUUGACAAAAUUAUUCUUCAUCCUUCUCUAAAGAAAAGGAUUGAGCAACUUGCUAGAGCAACAGAAAAUACCAAGUCACAUCAAGCACCUUUUCGUAACAUGCUGUUUUAUGGACCUCCUGGUACCGGGAAGACCUUGGUUGCUAGAGAGAUUGCUCGCAAAUCGGGCCUGGAUUAUGCGAUGAUGACUGGGGGGGAUGUUGCGCCACUGGGUUCAGAGGCUGUCACAAAAAUCCAUCAGAUAUUUGAUUGGGCUAAAAAGUCAAGAAAAGGUUUAUUGCUUUUUAUCGAUGAAGCUGAUGCUUUUUUGUGCGAGCGGAACAGUAUACAUAUGAGUGAAGCCCAGCGGAGUGCAUUGAAUGCAUUGCUUUUUCGAACCGGUGACCAAUCAAGGGAUACAGUUCUUGUCCUGGCUACAAAUAGACCUGGUGACCUAGAUGCAGCUGUCACGGACCGAAUGGAUGAAGUAAUUGAGUUUCCACUGCCUGGCGAAGAAGAACGUUACAAGUUGUUGAAGCUCUACCUAGGACAAUAUAUAUUGCAAGAAGGCGAUGGCCAAUUAUGGUGGAAUUCUCUAUUCAAGAAGCAGCAGCAAAAGAUAAUUGUGAAGGACAUGACAGAGGAUGUGCUUCGUGAAGGUGCACGAAAGACUGCUGGAUUUUCGGGACGCGAGAUUGCAAAGCUCAUGGCUAGUGUCCAAGCGGCUGUAUAUGGGCGCCCUAAUUGCAUGUUGGACUCGGAGCUCUUUAUGGAAAUAGUGAACUAUAAGGUCACCGAGCAUCAUCAACGCACCAAGCUUGCUACAGAAGCCAUAUAUUGAGAACUACAAUAUGGAGUUAUCCUAGCUACAUAUCUCCCUUGGCGGAUCGAUCACAUUGAUCCCAAUUUUUCGCUAAUAAUUUUCAGGAGCCUUUCGAUCGCUGGAAUGGCAAUUGUUCUUUACAAAUCCGUUUCUGCAGAAGGCUCUUCAACGGAGUCUUGUAAGUGCAAGCAAUCAACAGACAAAAUGUACGAGAGACGUGCAGCAAGAAAAGAUCUUCCACACUGCAACCUUUUUGCUUUCCCUUCCGACUCACCAGCAUUUUAUUUGGAUGAUGAUUCUGAAUAAUCUUUCAUGAGAAAAGGAAACCGAAUUAUUGGGUUGCUCGAAAGUCCAUUAUCUCCUCCCUAAAUCAAUCAUUCAUCCUGGAUUUUACUUGGUUUUAGGA